GUAGAUAUAGUUUUAAACAAAACAUUAGAUUGUGAUUCUAAAAAUAGAGGUUCAACCCCUCUUAUCCACC
rnacentral:tRNA from 1 species